rnacentral:rRNA from 1 species
AACGAACGCUGGCGGCAUGCCUAACACAUGCAAGUCGAACGAGACCUUCGGGUCUAGUGGCGCACGGGUGCGUAACGCGUGGGAACCUGCCCUUAGGUUCGGAAUAACUCCCCGAAAGGGGUGCUAAUACCGGAUAAUGUCUUCGGACCAAAGAUUUAUCGCCUUUGGAUGGGCCCGCGUUGGAUUAGCCAGUUGGGAAGGUAAAAGCCCACCAAGGCGACGAUCCAUAGCUGGUCUGAGAGGAUGAUCAGCCACACUGGGACUGAGACACGGCCCAGACUCCUACGGGAGGCAGCAGUGGGGAAUAUUGGACAAUGGGCGAAAGCCUGAUCCAGCAAGGCCGCGUGAGUGAUGAAGGCCUUAGGGUUGUAAAGCUCUUUUACCCGGGAUGAUAAUGACAGUACCGGGAGAAUAAGCUCCGGCUAACUCCGU